UACGUAGGGCGCGAGCGUUAAUCGGAAUUACUGGGCGUAAAGCGUGCGCAGGCGGCUUCGCAAGUCAGACGUGAAAUCCCCGGGCUUAACCUGGGAAUGGCGUUUGAAACUACGGAGCUGGAGUGUGGCAGAGGGAGGUAGAAUUCCACGUGUAGCGGUGAAAUGCGUAGAUAUGUGGAGGAAUACCGAUGGCGAAGGCAGCCUCCUGGGCCAACACUGACGCUCAUGCACGAAAGCGUGGGGAGCAAACAGG
rnacentral:rRNA from 1 species